UACGAAGGGGGCUAGCGUUGCUCGGAAUUACUGGGCGUAAAGCGUGCGCAGGCGGUGAUGUAAGACAGGUGUGAAAUCCCCGGGCUUAACCUGGGAACUGCAUUUGUGACUGCAUAGCUAGAGUACGGUAGAGGGGGAUGGAAUUCCGCGUGUAGCAGUGAAAUGCGUAGAUAUGCGGAGGAACACCGAUGGCGAAGGCAGAUCUCUGGGCCGUAACUGGACGCUGAGGAGCGAAAGCAUGGGGAGCGAACAGG
rnacentral:rRNA from 1 species